GAACCUGAAACCGUGUACGUACAAGCAGUGGGAGCACCCGAAAGGGUGUGACUGCGUACCUUUUGUAUAAUGGGUCAGCGACUUAUAUUCUGUAGCAAGAUUAACCGGAUAGGGGAGCCGUAGGGAAACCGAGUCUUAACUGGGCGUUAAGUUGCAGGGUAUAAACCCGAAACCUGGUGAUCUAGCCAUGGGCAGGUUGAAGGUUGGGUAACACUAACUGGAGGACCGAACCGACUAAUGUUGAAAAAUUAGCGGAUGACUUGUGGCUGGGGG
rnacentral:rRNA from 1 species